UACGUAGGUGGCAAGCGUUAUCCGGAUUUACUGGGUGUAAAGGGCGUGUAGGCGGGUCUGCAAGUCAGAUGUGAAAUUUCAGGGCUCAACCCUGAACCUGCAUUUGAAACUGGGUUUCUUGAGUACCGGAGAGGUCAUCGGAAUUCCUUGUGUAGCGGUGAAAUGCGUAGAUAUUAGGAGGAACACCAGUGGCGAAGGCGGCUUACUGGACGGCAACUGACGCUGAGGCUCGAAAGCGUGGGGAGCAA
rnacentral:rRNA from 1 species